GACGAACGCUGGCGGCGUGCCUAAUACAUGCAAGUUGAGCGCUGAAGGUUGGUACUUGUACCAACUGGAUGAGCAGCGAACGGGUGAGUAACGCGUGGGGAAUCUGCCUUUGAGCGGGGGACAACAUUUGGAAACGAAUGCUAAUACCGCAUAAAAACUUUAAACACAAGUUUUAAGUUUGAAAGAUGCAAUUGCAUCACUCAAAGAUGAUCCCGCGUUGUAUUAGCUAGUUGGUGAGGUAAAGGCUCACCAAGGCGAUGAUACAUAGCCGACCUGAGAGGGUGAUCGGCCACAUUGGGACUUGGACCCGGCCCAAACUCCCACGGGAGGCAGCAGUAGGGAAUCUUCGGCAAUGGACGAAAGUCUGACCGAGCAACGCCGCGUGAGUGAAGAAGGUUUUCGGAUCGUAAAACUCUGUUGGUAGAGAAGAACGUUGGUGAGAGUGGAAAGCUCAUCAAGUGACGGUAACUACCCAGAAAGGGACGGCUAACUACGUG
rnacentral:rRNA from 1 species